GCGCUGCAUACCAUAGCUUCUGAGCCAUCCAGGCGCCCCCUGGCAGCAAAGUGGCUGCUUUCUCGUGUUCCAGGUGAGGUACUGCUCCUCUCCCAGUCCUUCCAUCCUCCAGGGGUCCCGACUGGGCAAGAGCCCCAGCCAUCCACUACACCUUUUACCGUGGUAACUAACAGAACAUUAUCGUAUAUUUUGUUACAUUACAACCCAAAUGCAAAACAUUACUGUUGUUUAUUUUUUAAGCCAUAUGCAAAAGAUUGUCAGCUCAUGUUUUGUAACACUGCACAGUAAAUGCAACAACACAUUGUUUUAACAUAAUGUAAAACAAAUAAUAGUAAAUACCAGGUCCUAUAUUGCUCCAUUAAUUUUGAGAGAACCCAUCUCUGAGUUAUCACAGUUGCAAAGUCAUUAAUGACUUCCACAAAACUAACUUAACACUCAAGGUCCUAUUCAGACAAGACUGUUCAGUCUUUCUUGGUACAUUGUUGUGCAAAAGUAAGUAAAUUCUUACAUAUUUCUGACCACUGUCUAUGAAAGGACAGCUUGGUCAGCCACCGUGGAAUAAAUUAAAUCUGCUUGAGGUGGGAGGCCACUUUUGUCCUGUGACAGGCAGUUUGACGCUAGAAGCAAGGAGCUGAUUUUCAUACUGGCCCUCUCACUUCAAGUCAUUAUGCAUUCCCACCUUCUGUAUUCCCAUACAGCUGUUGUCGCCAGUCUUGCCAAUGUUGUUACUGAUGUCGCUCUUACAAAAACAAAUAAUUUCUAUAUAGACGAUCCAACUAGUACUAGCUGAUACCCCAUCUAGUAACUAAAGUAUUGAAAAGUAACCCAUAAAUUUGACACUUCAGGCCCCACCCUUGGCUUGUUUUGAAGAUGCACAUCGGCCUCCAUCUCCACUUCUGCUGUGUUUAUUGCAAAAGGAGAAAUGCCUUUAUUAGAGCUUAUUGUUGUGCUUUAUCUGCAAAAAAUGUAAAAAAAAAUAUAUAAAAUCUGCUGAUUUAAGCUUUCGGUUGAAAUUUGUGGCCAUAUAGGAUUAAAUAUAAUUGAGGAAUAUUAUAGUGAUGGUGCCACAAACCAAUACACUGCCUAUUCUAGGGGUUUUCUUAAAAGGUUACCCAGAAUGCAUUAUUACAGUAUGUGUAUUAUCUAAAUAUGACCCAUGGUUAAUCCAUAGCAAUCUAGCCACAGUCAGCAAUGAUGAGUAGUUAUUGUGGUAGUCGUGAAAGGAAUCUCAUCUCUUAUGAUUCUUGACCCAGCAAUCCAUAGAGGGUGCCACAAUUUUGUAGAUGGAAGAAAGUUUUAAUGGAUGUGCUGUGAUGGCCCACCAUAGAGGUUGCCACAAAUUUGUAGAUGGAAGAAAGUUUUAAUGGAUGUGCUGUGAUGGCCCACCUUGUGAUGAAUCCAUUCUUCGUUACUUUAGCAGGUCUAGCCCUUAAAUUCUUCCUAUUUUGGCAUGAUGGCCUUCACCACCAGCAUUCUCCUGCUGUCGCUACUUGUGAUGCAUCAAGAAGACUGCCUGUCCUCACGAAGACCAAGCUUUUACCAGACUUGCUGAGUUGUUCACACACACACAUGACAAAGGCAUGGCUGAGGCAUUCUUCAAAAGCAAUAGUUUCCUAAAGUCACCCUCAUCUAACCCCAUCCUGUUUUCAGCUUGACGUGUUGGUUAAACUGGCCUUUGCAUAAUCGUGGUGUAAGAAGCUGAAGCUUUUCAUGGCAUGGCAGUUACAGGCAGGAGAGCAGAAAACAGAAUUGACCAGCCGAAGACCGUGCCUCUCAGUGACAUCAUCACCGGUCCACCAACUGAUGACAUCACUAUCAGUGCCCAGAACCCAUCUAACUGCCACAUCAGUUCCUGUUCCGGCCUACCUAACUCCCCCUUAUCCUCUAAUCCACCAUAUUUAUACCCCAGACUCGUCCUGUUAGUUAGUUUGGUUUUGAACUCUGCCUUGUAAAGAUGUGUUUUCUUUACUUUCUGAUUUUCAGUAUAUGGUGUGACCAUCCCCAAACCUUUUUCUGUCUGUUGCCUAUUUUUUAGCACACCUGUUAAGGCAUAAUCCUGGUUUCUUAGUCUGUGUUUACAACCUAUGGAAGCUCUGAACUGCACAAUUAAAAGAAUUAUGGGCUAGCCCUUAUCUCAUACCUACGUGAAAAUUUCUCGUAUGUAUGAGAUACUUUCGCAUACGUAUGAGAUAUUUUUAUGACCUGAAUUUUUUUGCAAUUUUUUUAAUCUAACUAACUGUAUCUUGUACAUAUGUAAAAAUAUCUUGUACAUACAUGAAAACAUCUUGUACGUACAUAAAAGUAUCCCGUACAUGUGUGAAAAUAUUUCAUACAUACAUAAAAGUAUCCCAUACAUAAUUGAAGAAAAUAUCAUGCGUACAUGAAAUUAUCCUAUAAGUACGAGAUAUUUUUACGUACAUACGAGAUAUUAGCUAUCUCGUCCUUUUUUCAUUGUGCAUUUCAGAGCUUCCAUAUCAUGCACAAGUAUUCAUUUCUUCUCCUUUGGAAAUUUGCUCUGACGUCAUUAAACUACAAAAAGAGAGUUAAACAUCAUCAUUGGCUUCUGUGAAUUCAAAAAUAAGCAUGACGCCUGUGAUUAUUUUCUUUUGUUUUAUAAACACGUUAAGCCAAAUUAACUCUGUAUUUAUAGGUUUCUUUUACCAGAUUGUACAUCCCGCACUCUUUUCUUCUUGGCUAUGUGAUUGAGCCCUGCAAAGGACCAGAUUUUAAGGGCAACAAAGUAACAGGAGCAUUGAAAUAACAGAGAAGACAUGAGCAGGCACAAGAUGUGAAAAGCGUGGGAGGU